rnacentral:piRNA from 1 species
UGAAAGGAUCAAGGAAACGGACACCCCUUA